AAUUAACGAAGAAAGUGAUUAUUUUUAAUUCAGUUGAAUUUUUUACAUAUUUUUCCAAGAUAUUUGUGAAAUAAGUUGACAAUGUCUAUCUUAAUCAUCUUUAUAUGAUUGGUUUUUGUUUGGUUUCUAAGAUUUAAAUUAAAAUAUGAAUGUAAACAUAAAAGCUUUUUGGCCAAGUGAAAAUGUGCUGGAUUCUCGUUGUUACCUGAUUAAUGGAUUGUUUGAUUUUGGAUGGUAUCAAACUUGAAUACUCUUGAAUACUUGUCUAAAGAAACAGUUUAUGGUAAAAUCCUGAAUGACCAGGUAAUGAAGCAGAAUGUGAAACAUAUGAAAUUUAAAGUGAAUUUGAAAAGAUCUCAAAUUGACCUGACCUCAGUACAAUGCUGAUGAUUAAAGAUCACCAAAGUACAAUUGGGUCGAGUUGGGUCACAAAAUAUUCAUCUAACCAAACCUUCAAAUGUUUCAAUCUUGACACUCAAUGAUCUUAAUCAAAUGGAAUCACUUUAAUUUGAAGAUUCAAACCGAAUGCUUCAGAUCUUGGAUUUCAUCAAUCACUAAAACCUUUACAUUGAUGUCUUACAGCUCGGUUAACAUUUUCCUCAAUCAUCCUGGACAUUAAAGUAAAACAAAUCAAUCCAAGAAACAUAUUGUGAUAACUGUUUUAUAAGCCAUUUACCAUCCCUUUGUAACAUUUUUAUAUCAUCGCUCAUCGCUGUUUUAUAAAUCUGUGUUUUUCCCUCAUCUCGUGUUCAAAUAUUAUGUGAUGUGCCAAAUUUUAUUCUGGUCCCAUCAUUGGCCAAUUCAUCUUUACAUGAUAUGAAAUUUGGAUUACUACCAUUAAUUACAAUACUUUGUGUUUACAUGAUUUCAACUCAUGUUGAUGCUUGCCGUGGUAAUCAAAAGUCAGUGAGUUACAUGAAACAAGGAGGCAAAGUGUACAAAGUAGUUGAGAUAUAUAAGAAUAACAGCAAGAAAAAGUGCAAGAAAAAGUGCCUACUAGCAGACGACGAUGAUGAUGAUGAUAGCAGCAAUUCAAAUCUCGAUUUUUUAAGACUCAGAGGAAAUAAGAAAACUAAGAAAACGAAGAAAAAGAUUAAACAGAGAGUCGAAGAGGAUGAUGAAGAUGACGACGACGAUGUUGAGGAGGAGGUGAAAGAAAAAACUACAAAGAAGAAAAAGAAGAGAAAAACUGAGAAAAGUGAAACAAAAAAACCAACGAAAAAGAAGAAAAAGAAAAAAAAUGUCGAGGAAAAAGAUGACGAUGAAAAAGACGACGAAAAAGAUGAUGAAGAAGCAGAUGAUGAUUGAAUGCAUUGAAAAAUUGUCAACAAUGAAUAUAGUAAAGAUGUUUCUAUCUCGUUCAAAUUUUUGUAAUUUAUCAAUAAAUAAUUUUGCUCCAAAAAUUUCUUGACUUGAAAUGGCAUUCCAUUGUAAACUAAUGGUUCUGAACUUUGAAUAAAGUAAUUAACCUUUUC